CCUACGGGGGGCAGCAGUGGGGAAUAUUGCACAAUGGGGGAAACCCUGAUGCAGCGACGCCGCGUGAGUGAAGAAGUAUUUCGGUACGUAAAGCUCUAUCAGCAGGGAAGAAAAUGACGGUACCUGACUAAGAAGCCCCGGCUAACUACGUGCCAGCAGCCGCGGUAAUACGUAGGGGGCAAGCGUUAUCCGGAUUUACUGGGUGUAAAGGGAGCGUAGACGGCAGCGCAAGUCUGGAGUGAAAUCCCAUGGCUUAACCAUGGAACUGCUUUUGAAACUGUGCAGCUAGAGUGCAGGAGAGGUAAGCGGAAUUCCUAGUGUAGCGGUGAAAUGCGUAGAUAUUAGGAGGAACACCAGUGGCGAAGGCGGCUUACUGGACUGUAACUGACGUUGAGGCUCGAAAGCGUGGGGAGCAAACAGGAUUAGAUACCCGAGUAGUC
rnacentral:rRNA from 1 species